rnacentral:rRNA from 1 species
CCUACGGGAGGCAGCAGUGAGGAAUAUUGGUCAAUGGGCGCGAGCCUGAACCAGCCAAGUAGCGUGAAGGAUGACUGCCCUACGGGUUGUAAACUUCUUUUAUAAAGGAAUAAAGUGAGGCAUGUGUGCCUUUUUGUAUGUACUUUAUGAACAAGGAUCGGCUAACUCCGUGCCAGCAGCCGCGGUAAUACGGAGGAUCCGAGCGUUAUCCGGAUUUAUCGGGUUUAAAGGGAGCGUAGAUGGGUUGUUAAGUCAGUUGUGAAAGUUUGCGGCUCAACCGUAAAAUUGCAAUUGAUACUGGCAGUCUUGAGUACAGUUGAGGGAGGCGGAAUUCGAGGUGUAGCUGUGAAAUGCGUAGAUAUCUCGAAGAACUCCGAUUGCGAAGGCAGCUUACUAAACUGCCACUGACAUUGAUGCUCGAAAGUGUGGGUAUCAAACAGGAUUAGAUACCCGGGUAGUC